UACGGAGGGUCCAAGCGUUAUCCGGAAUCAUUGGGUUUAAAGGGUGCGCAGGCGGUUUUGUAAGUCAGUGGUGAAAUCCCUUCGCUCAACGAAGGAACUGCCAUUGAUACUGCAAAACUUGAAUACAGUUGGAGUAGGCGGAAUGUGUAGUGUAGCGGUGAAAUGCUUAGAUAUUACACAGAACACCGAUAGCGAAGGCAGCUUACUAAACUGAGAUUGACGCUCAUGCACGAAAGCGUGGGGAGCGAACAGG
rnacentral:rRNA from 1 species